ACUGUGACAAAUGGUUGAUGGGGAACAAACCUUCAGGCGACGCAUUGUAUCCUAUAUAAGCACUUGUAAAGGUUCAGACACAAAAAGACCUUUCUUUGCAAGCUAUCAGUUGAAGAAAGUCAGUUCCUGCGUCUUUAUAAGCUCUAACAUGAAGGCAGUCAUCGUUGUUGUUCUGUGUGCCCUCGUGGCUCUCAGCCAAGCUGGCCUUAUCUACCCAGGCUACGGUAAUGGCGGUUAUGGUGGACGUCUUGGUGGCUUUGGCGGCAUUGGCGGCUACGGAGGUCACGGCGGUGGUCGUGGUGGUUAUGAUGGUUUCGGCGGCUAUGGAGGUGGCUACCCACACUUUAAAGGCUACUACGACUAAAUAAAGACAAACUUUAAAACUAUGGAACCAGAAGAUUGUCUUUGAAGAGAAGCAGCAUAUAUGUACAUAUAAAGAUAUGAUCACGUGAAAUCAAUAAACGCAAUAUUUGAAAAACAAA